GACGGACGCUGGCGGCGUGCCUAAUACAUGCAAGUAGAACGCACAGUUUAUACCGUAGCUUGCUACACCAUAGACUGUGAGUUGCGAACGGGUGAGUAACGCGUAGGUAACCUGCCUGGUAGCGGGGGAUAACUAUUGGAAACGAUAGCUAAUACCGCAUAAUAUUAAUUAUUGCAUGAUAAUUAAUUGAAAGGUGCAAUUGCACCACUACCAGAUGGACCUGCGUUGUAUUAGCUAGUAGGUGAGGUAACGGCUCACCUAGGCGACGAUACAUAGCCGACCUGAGAGGGGGAUCGGCCACACUGGGACUGGGACACGGCCCAGACUCCUACGGGAGGCAGCAGUAGGGAAUCUUCGGCAAUGGACGAAAGUCUGACCGAGCAACGCCGCGUGAGUGAAGAAGGGUUUCGGAUCGUAAAGCUCUGUUGUAAGAGAAGAACGGGUGUGAGAGUGGAAAGUUCACACUGUGACGGUAUCUUACCAGAAAGGGACGGCUAACUACGUG
rnacentral:rRNA from 1 species